rnacentral:rRNA from 1 species
AUGUAGGUUUAACAACGGCCAUCAUUUAUUUCGUUAUAGUUAAUUGUAUUUUUUUUUGAUUUAUUAUUAAUUUAAUUUUUUAUUAAAAAUAAUAUUUUAAUAAUUUGUUUAUUGUUAUAAUGAUAAAAUUAGUAUUUUUUGUAAUUAAAAUUUAGGAACUCGGCAAUUUUUAUUUUCGCCUGUUUAACAAAAACAUGUCCUUUUGUUAUUUAUAUAAGGUCUAACCUGCCCAAUGAUUAAUUUUUAAUGGCCGCGGUAUUUUAACUGUGCAAAGGUAGCAUAAUCAAUUGUCUUUUAAUUGAAGGCUAGAAUGAAUGGUUGGACGAAAAAUUAACUUUCUUAAUUUUAAAUAAUUAAUUUAAUUUUUUAGUUAAAAAGCUAAAAUUUUUUUAUAGGACGAGAAGACCCUAUAGAACUUUAUUUCUUAAUUAUAUAAUUGUUUUGGUUUAUGAUAUUUUAUAUAAUAAUUGAAUUUUUAUUGGGGUGAUAUGAAAAUUUAAUUAACUUUUCUUUAAUUUUUUUCAAUAAUUAUUGUAUUUUUGAUCCAAUUUUUUUGAUUAUUAGUUUAAGUUACCUUAGGGAUAACAGCGUUAUUUUAUUGGAGAGUUCAUAUCGAUAAUAGAGUUUGCGACCUCGAUGUUGAAUUAAGAUUAGUAAUAGGUGCAGAAUUUUAUUUACUAGGUCUGUUCGACCUUUAAAUUCUUACAUGAUUUGAGUUAAGACCGGCGUGAGCCAGGUUGGUUUCUAUCCUUAAUUUAAUAAAAUAUUUUAGUACGAAAGGACCAAGUAUU